rnacentral:rRNA from 1 species
ACGUAGGUGGCAAGCGUUGUCCGGAUUUAUUGGGCGUAAAGCGAGCGCAGGCGGUUUCUUAAGUCUGAUGUGAAAGCCUUCGGCUCAACCGAAGAAGUGCAUCUGAAACUGGAGAACUUGAGUGUAGAAGAGGACAGUGGAACUCCAUGUGUAGCGGUGAAAUGCAUAGAUAUAUGGAAGAACACCAAUGGCGAAGGCAGCUGACUGGUCUGCAACUGACGCUGAGGCUCGAAAGCAUGGGUAUCAAACAG